rnacentral:snRNA from 1 species
GUGCUCGCUUCGGCAGCACGUAUACUAAAAUUGGAACGAUACAGAGAAGAUUAGGAUGGCCCCUGUGAAAGGAUGACACGCAAAUUCAUGAAGCGUUCCAUCUUUUU